ACUUUUAACCCUAAUUCCCAAAUUCUCAAAAACGAAAACCUACAACAUGUUAAAUCCAAUUUUCAGAAUCAAUGACUUAAGAUUAUUGAAUGUUAGUCCCACCCUUACCUUAUAACUCAAAAUCGCCGCUUUCUAGGUCUUUCUCCCUUCUCUUGGCUUUUUCUCCCUUUUCUCCAAAAUUGAUCGUACGUUAUGUUUUUUUUCUAAACUAUGUUUCUCCUAUUUAUA
rnacentral:lncRNA from 1 species